UGGCAAACCUGUAGGUGCUGGAUGGAAGUGUUCAAGGGUGCAAUCUGUAACUUGUUCGCUCCUUGUGUUCUAGGGUUUGCGGAUCUGACUGUUGUGGAUCUAGAUCGUCUUGAUCUUGGAAUUUGAAGGACCUUAGGUACUAUGGAGCUUGCACGGGAGGCGCUGUCGUUGUGGGCACGGAUCGUGAAUGUUUCGUUAAACACUUUAUGACAUUUCAUACUGUACUUAUGUUGGGUUUUAUUUAUACGCUUCCACUAAACAGUGAUGACACACUUAUAUUUUGAACACCUUUCAUAUUGGUGGUUGAAUGACAUUACUUUUACUUAUUA
rnacentral:lncRNA from 1 species